CCCCCUCGCUAUGGCCACGCCCCCGAGCCGCCGCCGCCGCCAUUGAAGCCAUCGCCGUCGUGAAACGUAAUUAAUGUAAUUAAUCACGCUGAUGACGUCACCAGCCUCCCCGCCGUCGCCGGUGACGUCAGCGAUGCCGUGGGCGCCAUUGAUGUCGUUGGUGGAAUUAACCACGCUGGUGUCACCCAUGGGUGCCACCCAUGGGUGCCUCGAUGCCAUCAUUGUCACCCAUGGGUGCCACCCAUAGAUGUCCCAGUGCCAUGGAUGCCACCCAUGGGUGCCCCGAUGCCAUUGGUGACACCCAUCGUUGUCACCCAUUGAUGCCCCCAAUGCCAUUGAUGCCACCCAUGGGUGCCCCGAUGCCCCUGGUGUCACCUGAUGCCAUGCAUGUCACCCAUCGAUGUCCCCCACUGAUGCCACCCACGGGUGCCCCGAUGCCAUUGGUGUCACCCACUGAUGCCACCCACUGGUGUCACCCAUUGAUGUCCCCGAUGCCACCCACGGGUGCCCCGAUGCCAUUGGUGACACCCACUGCCACCACCCCCCACUGCCACCCAUGGGUGCUCCAAUGCCACCGAUGUCACCCAUAGGUGUCACCCAUGGGUGUCACCCACGGACGUCACCACCUGCUGCCACCCAUGGGUGGCCCAAUGGCACCUGAUGCCAUGCGUGUCCCCCACUGAUGCCACCCAUGGGUGCCCCAACGCCAUAGGUGUCACCCACUGCCACCCCCCCGCCACCCAUGGGUGCCCUGAUGCCACUGAUGUCACCUGAUGCCAUCGAUGCCCCCCACUGAUGCCACUCCCUGAUGCCACCCAUGGGUGCCCUGAUGCCAUAGGUGUCACCCACUGCCACCCCCCCCGCCACCCAUGGGUGCCCUGACGCCACUGAUGCCCCCCACGGAUGCCACCCAUGGGUGCCCUGAUGCCAUAAGUGUCACCCACUGCCAACCCCUCUCCCCCUGCCACCCAUGGGUGCCCUGACACCAUAGGUGUCACCCACU
rnacentral:lncRNA from 1 species